CCCGCACAAGCGGUGGAGCAUGUGGUUUAAUUCGACGCAACGCGCAGAACCUUACCUGGGCUUGACAUCCCGAUCGCACCUUUUGGAAACUUAAGGGUCAGUUCGGCUGGAUCGGUGACAGGUGCUGCAUGGCCGUCGUCAGCUCGUGUCGUGAGAUGUUGGGUUAAGUCCCGCAACGAGCGCAACCCUCGUCCUUAGUUGCCAGCAUUCAGUUGGGCACUCUAAGGAGACUGCCGGUGUUAAAACCGGAGGAAGGCGGGGAUGACGUCAGGUCCUCAUGGCCCUUAUGUCCAGGGCUACACACGUGCUACAAUGGCCGGUACAAAGGGUAGCAAGACCGCGAGGUGGAGCCAACCCCAAAAAGCCGGUCUCAGUUCGGAUUGGAGUCUGCAACUCGACUCCAUGAAGUUGGAAUCGCUAGUAAUCGUGGAUCAGCAUGCCACGGUGAAUACGUUCCCGGGCCUU
rnacentral:rRNA from 1 species